rnacentral:lncRNA from 1 species
UGUGUCCCCCUGCAGUAUGCACUUUACAAAAAGAUGACACAAGCGGCCAUCCUCAUCCAGAGCAAAUUCCGAAGUUACUACGAGCAGAAGCGGUUUCAGCAGAGCCGGCGCGCUGCAGUGCUGAUUCAGAACUUCUACCGGAGCUACAAGAAGUGCGGCAGGAGACGGCCAGCCCGCAGGACAGCGGUCAUCGUGCAGCAAAAGCUCAGGAGCAGUUUGCUGACCAAAAAGCAGGACCAAGCUGCUCGAAAAAUAAUGAGGUUUCUG